GACGAACGCUGGCGGCGUGCUUAACACAUGCAAGUCGAACGGAAAGGCCCUGCUUUUGUGGGGUGCUCGAGUGGCGAACGGGUGAGUAACACGUGAGUAACCUGCCCUUGACUUUGGGAUAACUUCAGGAAACUGGGGCUAAUACCGGAUAGGAGCUCCUGCUGCAUGGUGGGGGUUGGAAAGUUUCGGCGGUUGGGGACGGACUCGCGGCUUAUCAGCUUGUUGGUGGGGUAGUGGCUUACCAAGGCUUUGACGGGUAGCCGGCCUGAGAGGGUGACCGGCCACAUUGGGACUGAGAUACGGCCCAGACUCCUACGGGAGGCAGCAGUGGGGAAUAUUGCACAAUGGGCGGAAGCCUGACGCAGCAACGCCGCGUGCGGGAUGACGGCCUUCGGGUUGUAAACCGCUUUCGCCUGUGACGAAGCGUGAGUGACGGUAAUGGGUAAAGAAGCACCGGCUAACUACGUG
rnacentral:rRNA from 1 species